AAAACAAUAACAUUAAAAGAAAGAAAGAAAGAAACAGAUAAAAAAAGGAAAAGGAGGGAAAGGAAAAAUACAGCCAAGUACCUCGAAUUACCGCAAGAUUGAAGUAGAAAUAAUAAAGUAAAAGUGAUGACAUUGGGUAAUGAUAGUUAUAUUGAUAACUGUUUGUUAACCACUUGCAUCAGGAUAAAUUAACCAUUCAAAAUCAUGAAUAACUCUUAAAAAGGUUUUUUCUUCAGUGUGAAUGUAACUAGAUGUUUUUGAAAUUAUGUUAAUGAUUUUUCCUUUUGUGUCACUACCUUGAUACGGGUGCGCUUUGUCCACCUACUCGGCUAACAGAGCAAAUCAAGUGUGAUUGAUUUUAACAACGGAGGAUUUGAAAGCUUAGGGUAAAUUUUUUAAUUUGUGGUGAGAGGAACCCGAGAAUUUAAGUUGUGGAUCACUGAGCAGUCUAAAAUGGCAUUUGUGGAAAUUUUGAUCUUCGUUAUACUGCUAGCUGGAAGUACCACAACGAUCGUGACUCUUCUUACGCACUGUAAUGGCGGCAACGACGUAGAGAAGCACAGAAACCUAACGCCAGGAGGAGAAACGACUUCAACAAACAAAACUACAUGAAAUGUUAAGGGUUAUCAGGAUCUGUACCGGACUGAACUAAUCUUCAGAAUUAGUAACGCAGAAGAUAUUUUUCAAUUGGCGAAAAUGCAUGGGUUUUGUGGAUUGCAAUGAAACCAUUUUAUAAAUUUCAUUUCCUAUGGUCAGAAUAAGGACGCCAUGCCGUCCUUGAGCCGUCGUUGCUAGUGGAACAAAAAUAAUGUCAAAAAUAUUUGCUGGGGAUUUUUUAAUACCCUCAAUUCUAUUACUUAGUUUGUAUUUAAGGUUGCAUAAGAAUAUAUAGACGUUUUCUGUCCGCGGAGAAUUGACAAUGAUUAUACGUAUUUGCCCAAAUGCCUUUUAAAGUGCGUUUUUGUUGAGUUUCCAGGGAAACAUGUCUUACCUUAAAAUAUUUAGGCAAAAAUUAUUCAGAAUGAUGGGCUAGCAUUCAGCUCGCUUCUCUAAAGCAGACAUAUUUAACGCUUAUCUUUAAUGAGAGAGGCGAUCUCGGAGUUUCUUGUCACAAAAAAAGUUUACCAAAACGGAGCCAGAGUAAGUAAUUGGGGCAAAAUUUAGUUGAACGAGAAAUUCAUGCAGGUAUAUUCACGAUCCAAAGCAGAAAUUUAAAAUGAAACAUUUUAUUUGGCACAGAGAGGGAAGAGUCUAGACCAUUCUAAGCGAUUGAUCGAUAAAUUUUUAACCAAUCACCGUUCAUAUAUAGAUAUAUAUAUGAUGACUUAGCCUGUUAGUAGGUGAGAAAGAGCUUGUGAUUUUCACAGUGAGAGAAAUUUCUUUAGUGAAUAUGCAAAUCGUAAUUUCCUUCUGGAAAAGCCUGGGGUCCUUUAGGCAAACUUUUCGUAUUUAUUUGCAUAGCUAUAACUUCACGGUAUUCUUUGUUAAGGGGGAAUUUGAAAUUCGCACAUGUUGCUCAGGUUUUGGUGCGGUGUUUCGCCUUAUAAAAUCGCAUACUGCGGUAGCUCAAGUCCUCCGUAUGUAUUUUUGUGUUGUCUAAACACCGACAAGGGCCGAGCAGGAAUCAAGGCUUUUUGUGGUUUUUUGUUGAAUGAAUCUUAAUGGCAUAGUCGCUGAGUCCUUUUGUCAUCAAAGUGACAAUUCCAAAAUAUGCUAAUGUUAAUUUGAUAAAAAGACUUCUAACAUGGUAAAUACUUGAAACCAACGUUAUUGAUAAAUUAGCUUACAAUAUGUAAGCAACAAUCGAUUAGACCUGAACGAUCAAGGGUAUAUCCACUUUUCAUACAAGUUUAUAAAGCUGCUUUCUGAUUUGAUGAGUUGUAACUGUUGUUCGCGCACGGUUGACAGUUUUUGGUCAGCUUUUUGGGCAGUGAUGCAGUGUUCAAAAAGAAACAAACUAGGAGGCGUUGCGGAAUUAGAGUUUUUAAAAGCCCGGCCUCCUCUUUGAUCAUUCGACAAUCUACGGCUAUAAAUGUUGUAGUCAAAUGGGAAUUAACCUCGUAUUAUUUCACCA